AGGAAAUGCAUGAACCAACCUGCUAAAGCUGAAACAAGCAUCUUUCAGAACUCAGAAAGAAAAACACAAAUAAUGAGGAUGUGUUCAGUGAACGUGUUAGAUUAUGAAAAGGGUGCCCACCUGCCCAUCCUCCAUGUUUUCUAAAAGUGUCGCAAAAGAAAACAAAUCAAUGACAGACCCAUGUUAUUUCUCUUAUUUUAAGCAUCUUCCUUUAUUUUUCCAUAGCCAUUGACAUUGCUGCAAAAAGUUGUUUCACCAUAUUCUUUUCUUAAGGGCGAGUACAUUAAAGGCCUCAGCUGAUUGGAUAAGAUUUGGGAUUCAUGAUGAUACUGUUGCUUAAUUGAGCUGAUAUUUUUUGUUGUCCUGCAGUGGCUCCAAUUUGAGCAACUAAAGCUAAACCAACUAAUAUAGGUGGGGUUCACCCACACCUGCCCGAGAAUCUAAUAAUUAACCCAAUUUCAUGGGUUAUUUGAUCAACAGGGAUGAUAAUUCCCUGUUUGGAAAAAUAACCAUCAUUUUCUUGAUGCCCAUUUGACAUGAAAUCACAUUUUUUUUUUCAGAAAAAAAAAAGAGAUUAUAAUUACAAUUUUUAAGAAGUGAGAGGUAGUGGGAAUUACUCAGUUUUUGGCACAGAUAUUUCCAUUGAAUGAGUGUUGGAAUUGGCUAUUCAUCUUGAACUGAUCCCACGUCUUUAAUAGCAUUAAGUGCUUUUGGUUAAAGCAGUUGGACUGGACUGGCAAUGAACAGGAGUACCCCAGAAGUCAAAACAUCUUUCUUAGAAGCUACAAGUUUCCACAUCACGUUCAGAAGCAGAACA
rnacentral:lncRNA from 1 species